UGAGCAAACAUGUGGCCAUGAAACAGAUGGUCAUAGAAUUGGUUCAGUGGUUGUGAGUGCAGCAACCCAAGAGUGUCUUAUCUGAAAUACCACCAGGAAUGCCUGGACACAGUAGACAAAGGUUGUUCAACUGGACGCCUUAGGAUACAUGCUUCCAAAAACAAAGUAGCUGAAAAGAAACUAGAAUAACAGGAUAUCAGAGCCAGAGGAGCAUUUGGAGGAGUACGGGAAGGAUGAAAUUACUUUUGAUGGAGAGAGCAUUUAGUGUCUCAGAGAGAAGACAGGACAUCAUUCAUCACUUUCAUGAUGGGGCCGGCAGAUACCACCAUGGUGACGUUUGUGGCAGAAGAGGUGGAGCCAGGGACUGGGGAGAAGAAACGCAAACACAUGAUGGGUUAAAAACUGGUGAAAUCGAAUAGGUUUAAUCAGGACUGAGGAAGGACAGAGGUGUACCCUCCUAGUGUACUGGGACCAAAAUUCGGAAGUGUCUGCAAACUUGCUUUAACCGUAUGGGAAAUAACCUCUAUCACCUGGAAUUUCCUUGGGACUUUGGAAAAUACAAGAGAAGUAUGAGACUUGGGUCUUCCCUUGGCUGUGUUUAAUUCACUCUUCUAUGGAAUACCAAUGAUUCUCACUAAGACUUUUGCCUUUUUAUAACCACAAUGUAUGCUUUAUGGAGAAGAUUUUACUCUUUGCUCUACUUAGAAAGAAUAAAUAUGAGCAAUGCUUUAGGUUUUAUGCCCUG
rnacentral:lncRNA from 10 species